AGGGAGUUUGAUCCUGGCUCAGAACGAACGCUGGCGGCGCGUUUUAAGCAUGCAAGUCGAGCGGCAGUAGCAAUACGAGAGCGGCGGACGGGUGAGUAACACGUGGGUAAUCUGCCUACCAGUCGGGGAUAGCCUGUGGAAACACAGGAUAAUACCGGAUGCGAUGCCCUGCACACAAGUGCGGGGUAGGAAAGGGGCCAAGGCCCCGCUGGAAGAUGAGCCCGCGUCCCAUUAGCUAGAUGGCGGGGUAAAGGCCCACCAUGGCGAUGAUGGGUAGCCGGCCUGAGAGGGUGAACGGCCACAUUGGAACUGAGACACGGUCCAGACUCCUACGGGAGGCAGCAGCUAAGAAUCUUCCACAAUGGACGAAAGUCUGAUGGAGCGACGCCGCGUGGGCGAUGAAGGCCGUGAGGUUGUAAAGCCCUUUUCUUGAGGAGGAAUAAGCGGAUCAGGGAAUGGGUCUGCGAUGACGUGAAUCAAGGAAUAAGCCCCGGCUAACUACGUGCCAGCAGCCGCGGUAACACGUAGGGGGCGAGCGUUGUUCGGAAUCAUUGGGCGUAAAGGGCGCGCAGGCGGCCGGGUAAGUCUGGUGUAAAAUGGUCAUGCUCAACAUGAUCAUGCGCUGGAAACUGCUUGGCUUGAGUCAACGAGGGGAUGCCGGAAUUCCAGGUGUAGGGGUGAAAUCUGUAGAUAUCUGGAAGAACACCGAUGGCGAAGGCAGGCAUCUGGCGACUGACUGACGCUGAGGCGCGAAGGUGCGGGGAGCAAACAGGAUUAGAUACCCUGGUAGUCCCCU
rnacentral:rRNA from 1 species